CUGAUAACAAUCAGUAGGAUACUCAAGUACUGUAGUGUAUUGUUGCAGGUGGCCAGGUCAACUUGAUUGCACUUAUUUUGUCGCUGUUCGUUUAAUUCUGUGUGCAAAUAUUAAUUCGCCGUUGGCGAAUCUGCAGUUGCAUGCUGUAAGAAACUCAUCCGCUGUAUGUGAAAUGUCACAUGACCUCACCCAGAAAACUGGGUACUGGACUUCCUUCAAAUGGUGUUAGAUGUUGGCCAUGCCAUAGAAGCCCCCCCGAGGACCAGGCAAUUCCCAUCUUCUUUGGUGAGAUUGUCACAAGCUGAUGUGAAAAUCUGCCUGCUCCUUUGUGCUGCUGACUUAUAGCCACCGCAGGAGGCUGAUUCAUCUUUUAUGUCCCCUAGGACACCAUCCGCGCUUUAAAACUUCAACUGGAUAUGCUUGAUUUAUGGCAAGAAGUUAUUUGACGCUGUAAGAGAGAAGUGGACUUUAGUUUCACAGUAACAUUGGUUCACAUGAAUUCACUUGUCUAUUUUUGACUGCCGGGCGCAACGCCGUUGAUAGGGAGCCUUUUAGUUGGUCAAACAGGAAGCGGAGAAAUUAGAUUCAACGUGUCGGGCUCCGUUUUCAAACCAAGGAAGUGUUCAAAGUAAGCAAAAGCGUCUGCUGAAAUGCUUGAUUUUAGCACCGAUUUACAACCCUAACGUUGCUAACGAUGUCUUUUAAUGAGCAGCUCAAGUUUCCAUUUGUUUAUGGAGCAUGCUGACUGACAGGUCCACCGAUGGAGAAAUAAAGCAUGUGAAUGAGCAGUUGGAUCUUUGCCUUCUUUGCCAUAUCAGUACAAGCCUAAUGUAUCGACUAAACUUUGAAGUGUCCUAAUGGUCCGCACGGUCCUUUAACCGUGCAGGCCUCUAUUAAGGAUGUCAGUGGAGCCUAGCUGGGGCAGUGUGACCCAUUAGCUUUAAUGAGAGCCGUCCAGGGCACAGCGGGCCGCUCUUCUUGCCCUCUACGACUGUUUAUUUAUGUCACCUACCCGCAUUUUGGUGUACUCAGGCUUUUAAGUUGCGUGCGUAUUACUCUAGGGUUUGGGAUUUUAUUACCUCUGAUCACGGCGAACUCAAUCUUGCUAAAUUUCUGUUUGAAUUAGGGUCAUGGUGAUGCACAAAAAAAAAAAAAAAUCCUGAUUUGAAAAGGAUGAAUAGAUGUGCCAAUAAUCUGGACAAACAAAAAAAACUAAGAACAGAAAAAGCUUUGCACAUCUCGGUAUUUUCUCAAUCAACUUGAUGAUGUGGUUGAUGCUUUAUGGAAUGACUUUCAUUUCGUAGCUGCACAUUAUCAAGAGUUCAAAGGUCAUUUUUCUUGACCUCUUCGAGUGUUUGAGAGCAGUUGAAUUUGAAGAUUUUUUUCCACAAACUUUUGACUGCAACUGUAUAUCAUGACUAUAUGUUGAUGUCACUCAAAAAUAAA